rnacentral:lncRNA from 1 species
GGUUAACAAGGAUGCAGAAAAGGAGGAUGCAGCGAGAACGACAAGAAGAGUUGAAUAGGGAAGAAAGUUCUUCUAAGUUUGAGAAUCGACAGCAAUUGGAUCCCAAAAGAGGGGGACCAUCGGCAGAUGUUAACAUGGUGUUUAUGUUGCCGAUGGAAUUUCUCACACCCUUUAGUGACGAUGAAGAGACAAGUCUCCCUGGCUAGAU